CUACGGGAGGCAGCAGUAGGGAAUUUUCGGCAAUGGGCGCAAGCCUGACCGAGCAACGCCGCGUGAGUGAUUAAGGCCUUCGGGUUGUAAAGCUCUGUUGUAAGGGAAGAACAUUCAGGAUAGGAAAUGAUCUUGAACUGACGGUACCCUACCAGAAAGCCACGGCUAACUACGUGCCAGCAGCCGCGGUAAUACGUAGGUGGCAAGCGUUAUCCGGAAUUAUUGGGCGUAAAGGGUGCGUAGGCGGUUUAUUAAGUCUAUGGUGAAAGUGCGGGGCUCAACCCCGUAUGGCCAUAGAAACUAGUAGACUUGAGUGCAGGAGAGGGCAAUGGAAUUCCAUGUGUAGCGGUAAAAUGCGUAGAUAUAUGGAGGAACACCAGUGGCGAAGGCGGUUGCCUGGCCUGUAACUGACGCUGAGGCACGAAAGCGUGGGGAGCAAAUAGGAUUAGAAACCCUAGUAGUCCG
rnacentral:rRNA from 1 species